CAACAAAAGAAUGAAGGAGACCUCGAUGCUGAUUGGUUGCUGAACAGAUAGAUCACAUGAAACAACUGUGGCUGGUUUGUGAUGUCUGCUUGGCUUACUUGUAAUUUGGUUUCAAUCACUGCAACACUUCUCUCUCUCUCUCUCUCCCUAUAUAUGUAUGUGAUCAUAUUUCUCUUUAUGCGUAUGAGGAGAGGGCAAGUGUUUUAUGUCAAUAAUAUUCAAUUAACACAUUGUAAUGUCUCUCUUUCAUUCUAUCUGUAUGUGUAUAUUUCUGUGUGUGUUUGUCUCCAGCACUACAAAAGACUGUCACCAAAACAGGCUGACUGUCCAGUCAACCAGGCCAUAUUCCCAGUGUCCAACCAGUUGUGCCCAGUUCCAGUGGUGAGACAUCUCCAUUCUCUGUUCCUGAACUCUAUCAAUCCUCUGACAUGGAAACCAUGACGAGGGGAAACCUUACAGGUGCAGUAAAGUAGCAAACCUACCUGAAGGGCCAGCUUGAUACCAGAUGGCAAUUGUUAUAAGACUGGGUCUUCCCAUGGGGCUUCUCCAUUGCUGUUACCCCAUGGAGUUGUAGAUGGCAAUUAACUUCAAGAAGCUCAGUCACCCUGUGACAGUCCUUGCUUCUAAACCUACCAGAUCUCCGCAACACUCUCCUGGUGGAAUGAAUCAAAUGGCCGGACCAGUUUAGUCAUUGAUCACUCAACCAUGUGACAGUGGCAAAAUUAAUUACCACCAUCAUCAUCAUUGUGCAGAGGGCAUCAAAAUCACCACCACCACCACCACCACCGCAAUGACCACCAACACCAUCACCAUCAUCAUCAUGACAGAUUUUCUACCAAGUCAGGAAUGUAUACUUUCAUGUGAAGCUGUGGUUUUUAUGCAUGUCCCAAACAGUACAGAUUAUAAUUGAAAUCAAACUGGCUGCAAUUAAGACUGGCUGACAGAGUGGACAUGUUGUCCCAUGACCAUAUGACUGUGAGCUGAACGCUCUGACCACCAGGCAUGGGCCACAUGCUACCAAAUACAACAAAGACCUCCAGACACUGACAAACAUGAACCAGGACCAAACACCAAGGGUAAGAACUAAAAGGGAGAAAAACCUCAGUAUUUAACCCUUAAGCAUUCAGAUUACUCAGUCAAAUCAUCAAUCAUCAUUUAACGUCCGUUUUCCAUGCUAGCAUGGGUUGGACGAUUUGACUGAGGACUGGUGAAACCAGAUGGCUACACCAGGCUCCAAUCUGAUUUGGAAGAGUUUCUACAGCUGGAUGCCCUUCCUAACGCCAACCACUCCGAGAAAGUCAUAUAAUUACCCCAGUUGCUCCCAUAUUUCUUUUGAAAUACGCUGCUUUUGGUUCAAUUAAUUUUGAAAAUAAAGAAUUUAGUAAAAUAACUUUGUCCUUAGGAAACUGGUGUUUGGAAGAUGAAUCAACAUAAGAUUCAGAUGGAAGAUUUUAAUUCAGAUCACUUUUAAAUAGAAAGUGUAUAUCACAGAACCAGGAACAGUCUCAGACAGGUUGAUAUCAAAUCGGACAUAAUUCUUUUGUCUCUAUAUUUCUGUUGAAAAUACACUGCUGUUAUUUCAACUAAUUUUGAAAAUAAUAAAGAAUUAAGUAAAAUAA